rnacentral:rRNA from 1 species
UACGUAGGGCGCAAGCGUUAUCCGGAAUUAUUGGGCGUAAAGAGCUCGUAGGCGGUUUGUCGCGUCUGCCGUGAAAGUCCGGGGCUCAACUCCGGAUCUGCGGUGGGUACGGGCAGACUAGAGUGAUGUAGGGGAGACUGGAAUUCCCGGUGUAGCGGUGAAAUGCGUAGAUAUCUGGAGGAACACCGGUGGCGAAGGCGGCAUCCUGGACCGGCAUUGACGCUGAGGAGCGAAAGCCAGGGGAACAAACGGG